rnacentral:rRNA from 1 species
GGGGAUAUGGCGACGGGUGAGUAACCGUGGGCAAUCUGCCCUUCACUCUGGGACAAGCCCUGGAAACGGGGUCUAAUACCGGAUAAUACUUUCCUCCGCAUGGGGGAGGGUUGAAAGCUCCGGCGGUGAAGGAUGAGCCCGCGGCCUAUCAGCUUGUUGGUGGGGUGAUGGCCUACCAAGGCGACGACGGGUAGCCGGCCUGAGAGGGCGACCGGCCACACUGGGACUGAGACACGGCCCAGACUCCUACGGGAGGCAGCAGUGGGGAAUAUUGCACAAUGGGCGAAAGCCUGAUGCAGCGACGCCGCGUGAGGGAUGACGGCCUUCGGGUUGUAAACCUCUUUCAGCAGGGAAGAAGCGCAAGUGACGGUACCUGCAGAAGAAGCACCGGCUAACUACGUGCCAGCAGCCGCGGUAAUACG